rnacentral:rRNA from 1 species
AGUGAACGCUGGCGGUAGGCCUAACACAUGCAAGUCGAACGGCAGCACAGUAAGAGCUUGCUCUUACGGGUGGCGAGUGGCGGACGGGUGAGGAAUACAUCGGAAUCUACUUUUUCGUGGGGGAUAACGUAGGGAAACUUACGCUAAUACCGCAUACUACCUACGGGUGAAAUCAGGGGAUCUUCGGACCUUUCGCGAUUGAAUGAGCCGAUGUCGGAUUAGCUAGUUGGCGGGGUAAAGGCCCACCAAGGCGACGAUCCGUAGCUGGUCUGAGAGGAUGAUCAGCCACACUGGAACUGAGACACGGUCCAGACUCCUACGGGAGGCAGCAGUGGGGAAUAUUGGACAAUGGGCGCAAGCCUGAUCCAGCCAUACCGCGUGGGUGAAGAAGGCCUUCGGGUUGUAAAGCCCUUUUGUUGGGAAAGAAAAGCAGCAGGUUAAUACCCCGCUGUUCUGACGGUACCCAAAGAAUAAGCACCGGCUAACUUCGUG